rnacentral:rRNA from 1 species
GAUGAACGCUAGCGGCAGGCCUAAUACAUGCAAGUCGGACGGGAUUCAGGAGCUUGCUUCUGAUGAGAGUGGCGCACGGGUGCGUAGCACGUAUGUAACCUACCUUUAUCGGGGGGAUAGCCUCUCGAAAGAGAGAUUAAGCCCGCAUAAAAUCACAGCACAGCAUUGUGUAAUGAUCAAAUAUUUAUAGGAUAAAGAUGGGCAUGCGGAACAUUAGCUAGAUGGCGGGGUAACGGCCCACCAUGGCGACGAUGUUUAGGGGAUCUGAGAGGAUGGCCCCCCACACUGGUACUGAGACACGGACCAGACUCCUACGGGAGGCAGCAGUAAGGAAUAUUGGUCAAUGGGCGGAAGCCUGAACCAGCCAUGCCGCGUGCAGGAAGACGGCCCUACGGGUUGUAAACUGCUUUUAUACGGGAAUAAACCCAGAUACGUGUAUCUGGCUGAAUGUACUGUAAGAAUAAGGAUCGGCUAACUCCGUG